GUGCAGUCUCAGACUCACGCAUGCGCACUGCAGACAUGCACGCGCUGGUUUAGGCAUGCGCGCAACAUAUAAUAAUUUGAUCUCCACGACCGUCCAGGAAUUAUUGCCGGAUACUGCAUAUAGGAUAAUGCCUGGAAAAUGGACCGAACAGACAGGCCUUGAUUUAGCUUGAUUUGACAGGGUUUACCAGGACAAUCGUAUGGAAAUGAUGUGGUAUAUUUAUGUUGAUGUCUGCAUUGUACAUGGUGCUGGAUGCCCCGUUUGACUACAUGAUUUUGGACAUGGCAAAUCUGAGGAAAUGGUGGUGUGUGUGAUGUUGAUGGAGAACUUUGGACUGGAUAGCCAUGGAAAAAUGUUUGCCCACUACACUGAGGAGUCCAAAGCCUUCCUGAGAGAUUUAGGUUGAGAAAAAGGAGGUUUGAAGAAAUCUCUCUGGUAAAAGCAUAUACUUGCUCCUUACAGGACUUGAACCGGUGUCUCCGGAAUGGGAGGUGGGUGCACUAACAAGGAGGCUAAAGCCCCUACCGUCAGUUGCUAGUGCACCUCUUGAGGUCAGAAAAGUGAGGUUUAUACAUAUUGCACAGCUAUCUACCAGCUGGCCACCGUUACACUCACCCCCCUAAACCUCACUCCCAUCCAGUUGAAAGUGGAAGUGAAGCCACAGACAGGGGCGGGUUUACAAUUUCUGAGGCCCCAAGCAACCAACCAACACGGAGCCCCGUUUCAAAAAAUGUUGCUAAAAAAAUGACAAAUUUUAUUUUAAAUCAUAAUUUUUAAUUCUUACUAUCAGCCGUUGUAGCCAAGUACAUUCAAAAUGUUUAAUGAAAUAAAAAUCUAGUUAAAGAUAAUUAAUGCAUGUUUUCCAGUUUCUCCACAAUACAGUGAUAAAAAAAAGCAAUAUUUACCUACAUAUAUUUUUACAACACACUUGUGUGUGUGUGUGUGUGUGUGUGUGUGUGUAAACAGGGUGUGCAAAACCUACUACUUCACCCAGUAACAUUUUGAAAUUCAGUUGUUACAGUAUAUAUUUAAAUUAUAACCCAACAAAUAUUUAUUGUUGUCCAGAUUGUCAUUAUAAUAUGAUACAGUAUUAUUAUUAUUAUUACUGAGGAUUUGCUGUAUACAAUAGUAAUAUAGUUCUGUCUUAUUUACUUUCACCUGGAGCUUAUAUUCUGAUGCUGUAUUGUUCACCAUGUUGCAAAAUAUGUAUUUUAUACAAGCAUCGUAGGCAACAUUCGUUACAGUAUUGUUAUAGUAGACAUACAAGGCAUGAAGGCCCCUCGGCACACUAGAGCAUAAAUUUAAAAAAAAAACAACAUUGCCAUUUAUCAAGCGCUGAAACUUUGCUUGGUGCAGAAUAAUCUGGAAUAAUGUAAAAAAUUGUAACAGUCACCUCUUUGCAGCCUGAAUUUGUUCAGAAUGUUAAACCUUUGUGACACCUGCGCUAAAAACAGUCUAGACGCAGCGCAACGAAUGAAGCAGAACGCAGGUGUCUCGACUUGUGUUUUUGAAAUCUGAAGUUAUUUUUAAUUUGACACAGUGUCUAAAAAUGUGCCGGUCCUACAUGAGACACUGAAGAAACAGCAAGACACGGUACAGCAGUCAAGGACGUUUGCACGUAUCUGUGUGAAUGAGCGUGCAUGGGCGAAACAAGGUUGGAAGGCCUGUAUAUUUUUUUCAUAAAUUACAAACCCGAACCCAAAGUCCUACUGACCCAAACCCGGCGGCUUCGUGAACCGCUCUGAGACCGCAGACAACAGCGUUUUCAUGUGUGUACCCAGAACAACAUGUCACCCCUCAAGCGGUUUUUUAUGAUUGUUAUUAUUCUAAUUAUUCUAAUGAUUCUAAUUAGUUGUUAAGUUAAAAAGUAAAAAGAGGGGAGGAAAAGCACGUUCUUGUUUCUCCACUGACAGGUGUUGUUUUUGCACAAAGUCAGCCAACCCAAGCAACAGAACCUUGCCCUGAAAACACCGUAGUACCACCUGCAACAGCGAAAGAUCUGCCUGUCCUUCAUCCAGACUGUCCAGAGAGCACACAAGAUAAAGAACCGCCACCUUCAGUAGAAAAUGCAUGGAAAAGGAAAUGUGGAAAUGAGUUGGAAGACGACAUAAAUGCCAGCUGCUGUAAGCGUCUCAAACUGGAAUGUACGAAAGUGGAAGAGGAGAUCUAGAGAAUUAAAAGUGAACGCAAAACGUUAGAACUAGAAAAUGUGAAAUUAAACCUAGAAAUAAUAUAAAUUACAAGAGGAGUUAAAAGUCUCUUGGCUGCUCCUUCAAUAUUGUUGUUGUUUUUUUUUGGGGGGGGGGGGAUUUUUCCCCUUUUUCUCCCAAUUUGGAUUGCGCUCGCAUAGUGAUUUGGCUUCAGUCCGGGUGGCGGAGGAUGAAUCCCAGUUGCCUCCGCGAGACAGUCAACCCGCGCUUGUUGAGCGCGUUGCCACGGGAUAUGGCGAGUGUGGAGGCUUCACGCCAUCUGCCGCGGCAUCCGCGCACCAUGCGAUGUGCCCCACCGAGAACAAACCACUUUAUAGCGACCACGAGGAGGUUACCCCAAGUGACUCUACCUUCCCUAGCAACCGGGCCAAUUUGGUUGCUUAGGAGACCUGCACACCCUGGGAUUCGAACUAGCGAACUCCAGUGGUGGUAGCCAGCGUAUUUUACCACUGAGCUACCCAGACCCCCUUCUCCUUCAAUAUUGUUGAAAUGUAAUCUUCAUAUUCACAAUUACAUUGCCAUUGCCAUAGGCCAUUUGUUCAUGUAAAGGUUAAAGUAUGGAAGUGCUUAGGCCUACUCUUUAUUAUUUUAUAUUUAAAUAUACUGUUUACAACACAUCAAUAUUUGUUUUACUAAUUAUUAUUGUUUUAUUUAAAUACAGUAUAUAUUUUAUGCUUAUAGUAUUAAUUUGUGUUGUCUAUCACAUGAGAAAAUAAAUAAAUUCGACAA